rnacentral:lncRNA from 7 species
GACCUAUAUAUAUUUUAACUGUAACUGUGUAAAAAUCUGGCAGGAUGCAUAUGAGGUGAGAAAGCACAUCUCGUUACACCAACUCACAUAUACACGAGGAACCAAAACAAAGCCAUCAUGGUGUACGAGAUUAUCUUGGACGCUAGCUAUACGUUAGUCUCGCAAA